GCAUCCAGGGAUAGAAUAGCAGUUCACUUCAAAGUCCCCUUUUCUAUCCCUGGCACUGA
rnacentral:pre_miRNA from 1 species